rnacentral:antisense_RNA from 1 species
AGGUUCAGCAAAUAUGACAUCGGGCUGGCUGUUAAAAUAUUGAAUCAGUUCUGAAGUGCUAAGUUCGUUGGACUUAAAUACGAUCGUAGAAUCCAAGUAUUUGACGACAUUUCCAUUAAUGUCAUUUGUCAUUCUGGCAAUUUCCGGAUUGUCAGGAUGGCGCGAAAAUUUAACGGUUACUUCUCUUUUAUGAUAAUGGCUUUCAUUUUUAUUAUUGUGUUUAAUCAGAGAG